GCGGCGCGCCGCCAGGAACCCCCGCGCCACCGCCGCCGCGCCUGCCUCCAGCAGCUCUCGGCCACGCGACCGUGCGGUCAGCGGCGCUUGGAGGGCGGCCGGAGCUGGGCCUGAGCCUGGAGACUCGCCUGAUCCCGGGCGGCCGAACCACCAUCACCACAACCGCCCCACCCCCGCCGUCGCCUCGUGGGGCCCCGGCCCCCUCCCGGGUCCCCUUCUCUCCUCAGACAUGGUGGGAUGUACUCUGAUCUAGAGCAGGCAGCUGGCCAGAGGCCCACAGGGAGCUCAGUGAUUGGCCUCAGAUGACCUUGGGGACAAAGAUUGUCCUGUGAAGGGAAGUGAUGGCACAGGCUCUGAUCAGCUCUUCUGGGAACAGACAGAGAAGUGAGAAUUCCUGCCAAAGCCACAGGAUGAACACAGAGCCAAGAACCUGAACCAGAAAAAUCCAGCAGGAAAGGAACCUGCACUAGCCACCAUCCUGAGGCUGCUGUACAGGGAGCAAUCCUACCGCAGGGACUUGGCAGGAGACCAGGGGCCUGCUCCCCAGUCCUCCUCGAGGGCCUCUGUCACCGACCUGCUUGUCUAGGAUCUCCUUUCUUUCUGCUUGUGCCACAUCUUUCAGGCCUGUUCUGGGUCUGAUGUGCUAUAGAACACUCUGUUCAGGCACUUGGGAAAUAGAGACUUCAUCACCAGCAUUUCCACCCCCAAAGAACUAGGCAGCACACUGGGAAGUUGCCAAAGGAAGGGACUCCAGCCUCCCAGGAGUUAACAACAUUUCUCCCCAGCUAUCCUCCCCUUGGUGCUCCUCUUCCUCCCUCCUCCUGCUCACAGCAGGCAGGGCCUGGAACCAGGAGCCAUGCUGCUGUGCUGUUGCCAGGGGAGCUGGGAGGCAGAUCGGAGCUAUGCAGGGAAAAGGCUCGGCCUGUCAGAGUGUCUGAGAUGAACCACCGCCAUCCCUGUGCAGCUGGGCUCCAUGUGUCUCAGGGCUCUUGUUCUGUGCCUGAGAACGGUGAAGCCCAGCGAGGUUCAAGGGCACACUCGCUAUUCAUCAGUCGGGGGUUCUUGACGGUCCUGCCUCUCCCAGGGAUGGGUUCCCCCCUUCCUCUUUCUCUCCCUCCUAUGAUACAUUCCUGGGUGCCUGUGGUGAGGACUGCACACCCCCUUCUCCACAGCCCCCCCAAACCCUGAAUCAACUCCUAUUAAGGAGGCCAGGCGAGACAGGGACAAUGGCUUCAAGAAAUCAUUCAGGCGGGACCUCAGUCACAUUCGCAUGCCCGUCACUCCCAGAGCCCCUGUAGAUCCCACUCUGCUGUGAUUCAGGGACCCUUGGGCCCCCAGCUUGCACAUGCCUAGACAGGAGCAGGCCACUAGGUGCUGCCCUACACAACAGGCCAGUGCAGUGUUUGUUCUCAGGGACCCUGGGGCCUCCAUCCCACUGGCUGGAUAGUGUGUGCAGUCAGUUGGAGAGCAGAAACUACAAUAUUUUCUGAAAUGUGGUAAUAUCAAGAUAUAAGAGGCACAUAUACGUGAUGACUAAUUUCACUUCAGAUAUACUGGAAAAGUUUGCUAAGAACAUGGACAAAGACCUGUGGUUGAGUAACGAGUCAUUUCAUUCCAUGGAAUAUUACACACCUGUAAGACUGUGGUAGAUCUACCUCUGCAUGCAGGCUGAUAGGGAAGGUUGCUAAUAUACUUAAGUGAAUAGAAUAAAGUACAAAACAGUCAA
rnacentral:lncRNA from 1 species